AGCUUAUCUUGGCCUUUUGGUUAAGAUCGAGUGUAGCAUCUGUUCUUAUCAGUUUAAUAUCUGAUAUGUCCUCUAUCUGAGGACAACAUAUUAAAUGGAUUUUUGGAGCAGGGAGAUGGAAUAGGAGCUUGCUCCGUCCACUCCAUGCAUCGACCUGGUAUUGCAGUACUUCUAGGAACGGUACAUCCCUU
rnacentral:snRNA from 1 species